rnacentral:lncRNA from 1 species
GCUGGGAAUACGAAAAUGAACUGAGUAAGGUAAGGAACAGUUACGAUGAGGAGAUCAUUAGCUUAAGAAACAAGUUCGAGACUGAGAUCAACAUCACCAAGACCACCAUCCACCAGCUGACCAUGCAAAAGGAAGAGGAUACCAGCGGCUACCGAGCUCAGAUAGACAACCUCACCCGGGAGAACAGGAGCCUGUCUGAGGAGGUAAAGAGGCUAAAGAACACUCUAGCCCAGACCACCGAGAACCUCAGGAGGGUUGAAGAGAAUGUCCAGCAGCAAAAGGCCAGUGGCUCAGAGAUGUCUCAGAGGAAACAGCAGUUGGAGAUCGAGCUCCGACAGGUCAGUCAGAUGCGGACCGAAGAGAGCAUGAGGUACAAGCAGUCCCUCGAUGAUGCUGCCAAGACGAUCCAAGAUAAAAACAAGGAGAUUGAAAGGCUCAAACAGCUGGUAGACAAAGAGACCAAUGAGAGGAAAUGCCUGGAGGACGAAAAUUCCAAGUUGCAGAGAGUGCAGUAUGACCUGCAGAAAGCCAACAACAGCGCCACGGAGGCCAUGAGCAAGCUGAAGGUUCAGGAACAGGAACUGACACGCCUGCGGAUUGACUAUGAGAGGGUUUCCCAGGAGAGGACCGUGAAGGAUCAGGACAUCACGAGGAUCC